rnacentral:rRNA from 1 species
UACGGAGGGGGCAAGCGUUGUUCGGAAUUACUGGGCGUAAAGGGCGCGCAGGCGGUCGUUCAAGUCGCGUGUGAAAGCCCCCGGCUCAACUGGGGAGGGUCACGCGAUACUGAUCGACUCGAAGGCAGGAGAGGGUAGUGGAAUUCCCGGUGUAGUGGUGAAAUGCGUAGAUAUCGGGAGGAACACCAGUGGCGAAGGCGACUACCUGGCCUGUUUCUUGACGCUGAGGCGCGAAAGCUAGGGGAGCAAACGGG